GCUAAAUAAUUAAAAACAAUGUUGACUGUAAGAUAAGUACAUAUAAUAAAAGAUUUGCUGUGGGUAUUUGUAUUUUUAGUAUCCGUAUUCACUAAAAUGUUUGUAAAAUUAGCAAUAUUAGAGUUCAAAUUUUAGAUUAUGGUUUAGAAAUACUACAGCAUACGAUUUUAAGUUUUUUGGUACGUUUACAAUUUUCACAAUACAUGGUGAUUAGAGGUGGAGAACUAUCUAUCUGUGCCACCGAUAGUUAUUGAUAGUUUCCAUAAACUAUCGACUAUCGAUGAUAGCAAGGAAAAACUAUAUAGAGCAGUAAAAGAAAAUAAUUUAAUAAUUUUUUAAAAUAAUCCAUAUUUGUUUAAAGUAUGAGAGUAUGAAAUGUGUUUUCCAAUCUUUAUCUAAAAAUAAUAAAUAAUUAUUAUUCAAAUAAUAUAAAUUUUUAAUUUUUAGGUUUACCUUAACUGCUAUUUAUAUAUUUAUUUCAAAAAAUAAUUUUGUACGCCUAUAGAGAUUUGUCACGUUUUUCUGAAGACCCUCUACGACUCUACGGAGCAAGCGGGUAUACAAAGAAAUUUGAAAAAAUAUCGACCACUAUCGACGAUAGCGAUUGACCAUAGUUCGAUAGUUCUCCACCUCUAAUGCUGAUGCUUUUUUAGUAGUGACCUAGCUGUGAGUUUUCAUGAUAUUAAAGCAAAAUUCUAAGUCGCUUUAUUAUCAAAAAGCAAUUGUCACUAUCGAUCAUUAUCGAUAUCAAUUUUAGGCUCCCCCCUGGUAACCAAAAGUAAUCCCCAAUUACGUUUCGUGUCAUGCCAUGCCCGUGACUGACAGACAGUCCAGUAGAUCGCUGAAUGACUCGUCAUGCAGACUGCUGUAAGCGCCUUCUCUUGCGCAACGCGUAAUUUCCCUAACGCCUUUUCUCAAAAAACUCUGAAAAUUUACGUAAACAUGACCAGUUCCUGUUAGAAGUCUAGUUUUAGACUCGGGAUUAUUUUUCGAGCAUGUGCAAUUUUGUGUAUCAUGCAUCAUUUGUUUUGUGAGUGCUGUACGAAAAAGUUGAUUUUUUCUGCACAUCUUUUAUAAAACAAUCAGAGUUUUAGGGACUACGAAAGAGCUGUGUGGGAUGUCUUCUCAGAAAUUAAAAAUAUAAACUACAAGGCAUUGUCCAGGGCGAAGAAAAUAGAAAACGGCGGAAUAAAUCAAUUUUUUCAUUUAGCUAUUAGAUUAUUUAGUUAUCAAGUAAAACUGUAUAAACUGUAAGUACACAUUGGAUUAGUUUAAAAAAAUUUUGAUUAGAAAUACAAUAAACAUUUUAUUUACUGCAUAUAUGUA